GGAGGGAGAUAAAGAUUUAAGCUUAAUGCAUGUGGAUGAAGGCUUGGUGAUGCUGCUUUUUAUUUGCAGUAAACUGAAUAUAUUUGGGUUGUUUGUAAGUCAAGCAGAGCAAAUGAUUGAUGCAUGAAUCAAGAAAAUAACCGGCAGAUUAGUCACAGAUGGAAACAUCUUGUCACCGGCCUCGAGGAAAUCAAACCGAUGAACGAGACAUAAAACAUAAGAAGCAGUUUUAGUUUUUGUAUCUUCUCCUGUUCGUCCACCGGGUGGCAGACUUCGACAACCUUGAUUCAAAAGAGAUUUUCUGUUUGUCAUCAAACGAUGUCAUGAUUUGAAAUCAGCAGUUUGGAGCGGUGCAGUCUGGGAGGAUGAUGAACAUGGAAUAUGUCAGUGACACUGAUACUGUUUUAAUUUAACUCAGCAAAACGUCAUCAGGACAAUAAACUAUAAAAUAUAACUUCUAUAUGAAUGUUCAAUGUUUUAAACGUUUGGACACAAACUAACAAAACUUAAACUAACAGAUUUGUCCCUAUAAUCUUUGUCUCUUGUCAAAUGCAGGAUCAUUUUCUAAAUAUAAAAUAAAACAAAUCGCUCUUUACAUUCUUUUGUUUUGAGGAGUUCUCAGUGUUAACAGUGUUCCUCCAACAGUUUCUGUUUCAGCAUGACAACACGCGCCAUGCAGCAUUAAUAUAUGGCAAUAAGAUUAUUAUCAUGGUUAAUAAAUCCUUUAAUAUGCACUUAUUAACAGUUAAGGAUGAGUUUGAGGGGAUGUGAAGUGGGAACAAUUCUUAUUGAAGUUAAUAAAACCUUAAUUGUGCACACGUGGCAAAGGGAACAGAGUCAGUCCAACACCACAUGGGAGCUCACUAAUGAAGAAAUUCCUGCAGCUGGGUUUGAAAAACCAGAAUUACAUGUUCAGAAUCAGGGAAACCAUCACACUGGAUGUCGGAGCAGCUUCUCGAGUUUCAUAGAAGCUGCCGUGGAAAUGUUCUCUGAGUCGUGAAGCGGUGAAACUCCAUCAGUGUCUGAGUUUAAACCCUUGCAUGGCCUUGAACGCCUCCUCUGCUCCUCCUGGAGGAAAACAGUCUGACGUUCCUCCAAUUAAAAAAA